GAUGAACGCUGGCGGCGUGCCUAAUACAUGCAAGUCGAGCGAACAGACGAGGAGCUUGCUCCUCUGACGUUAGCGGCGGACGGGUGAGUAACACGUGGAUAACCUACCUAUAAGACUGGGAUAACUUCGGGAAACCGGAGCUAAUACCGGAUAAUAUAUUGAACCGCAUGGUUCAAUAGUGAAAGACGGUUUUGCUGUCACUUAUAGAUGGAUCCGCGCCGCAUUAGCUAGUUGGUAAGGUAACGGCUUACCAAGGCAACGAUGCGUAGCCGACCGGAGAGGGUGAUCGGCCACACUGGAACUGAGACACGGUACAGACUCCUACGGGAGGCAGCAGUAGGGAAUCUUCCGCCAUGGGCGAAAGCCUGACGGAGCAACGCCGCGUGAGUGAUGAAGGUCUUCGGAUCGUAAAACUCUGUUAUUAGGGAAGAACAAAUGUGUAAGUAACUAUGCACGUCUUGACGGUACCUAAUCAGAAAGCCACGGCUAACUACGUG
rnacentral:rRNA from 1 species